CCGGCAGCCAGGUCCCUGGCGCUGCGCGGCCUUUGUUCCCGGCUGACAGCUGUGGCCCAGUGGACCUCCCCGCCCACGAGCGCUCCGGCCCAGCGGCCCGGCUGCCCGGCUGCCCGGCUGCCCCAUCUCUCCACGCUGGCUUCGCUCAGACCCCGCCCGGCGGCCCUGCGUGCUGAGUCUGUCUCGCCCUGGUCUGACUUUGCCUGUCGUGCUCUUUCCUCUUUCCUUACCUGCACUCCCUUCUUGCUCCUUCCGCGUUUCCUCUCCUGCUCCCCUUUCUCUGCGACCCCCUUCUUGAUACCCCUUUCUCUAGCUCACCAGUUUCUUUUUCCCGAUAGAUUCCAUCUCCCCACCCCCUGCGCUCGCUCGGAAAGGCUGGGCUUCUCGGGUCUAGGACCUAGGUGGGGGGUUUCUUCCCCACGUCGGGGACCCCGGCACUCCUGUCCCCGGUUUCAAAUCAACUUUUCCACCUCUGUCACAGGGGCAGAGUUUCAGGAGAUCCUUGCUGCCUUCUGGACCGGACCCCGAACCUUCAGUUCCAGGCCUCCUGGAAGGCAGUGCAGCAAAGGGUUUAAAAACACAGCAGAAAACCUUUCCUGGAAGGCCUUGAACUAACACGGAGUAGGCCCGGCCAUGUCAUCCAGCAGCCAUCGGCAGAUUCGAUGAAAUCACCUUCCUUGAAAGGUGGCAGGAGACUGAAUGAACCGCUGCAAAUAUAAGUUCUACAUUAUCUCAUCAGCUGCACUUUCCACUUCUGAACACCCAGAAGAUCUGAUAAGCCUUCCUUAUCAAGAAUCUUGUGCUUGCAUAGCCCAGACUAUUUGUAUCAGAUACUGCCCCUGAUCUAAUCAGCUGUGGACAGGACGGCAGCAUCAUGUCGAAAUACAUAUACUCAUGAAGCACAAAGAAUCUCUCCUGAGAGAGGUGUGGAUGUGCAAGUCUCAGAGCACAGAUUCUUCAACUCACCAAACAUGUUUGGGGUCUUGAUAACUAGCUCUUCAUUCAUAUCAAGAUUUCAUUCCCUCAAGUACUUGUUUUAUAUUUUCUGGGUCUUGUCCCUUUGUGUCUUAGUUUCAGACCCAGUACCUCCCUCACAAAGUGAGCUGUUUCACUUUUCCUCUUCAUAUGUGUACUGAAAGCAAGAAACAUGACCCCAGCCACAUGUCACUUGAAGCAGAGAUUUAUUGCCUUUAAUCUAAUUGAUAUAAUGCUUGUUAUAACAAGAAUGUCUUAUGCAUCAACAAAGGUAUUGUCCAAACUUGUAGUGGAAUUGGCAGUCAUUCAGUGUCUCGCCAUGUACCUUUUCUUCUUGUUUCUAUAUCUAGCUUUUGAUGAGCAACCAGGAAGGGAGACUCAGAAGCUGCUCUCUGAAAGGGUAGAGAUAUAUAGAUCUGUGGCCCUGGUGGUCAGACAUUCUGGCAUCAUUUUUUUGUUUGGCAGAGCUUUAUAGGAACUGUGGAAUGAGAAGGCUGCCAUUCAACACGACACCUGACAAGUGUUCAUUGUCUACUCCCAACUACACACAUGGAAUCCAAGUACUCUCUCAGUUGCUUGCAAGUGGAGUCAACUAGUGCUGGCCUCCAUGAAUUCUGAGCUCGGCUCUAGUCACUACAACAUAAGCUGGGAUCAGUAAAGAGGAUCUCAAAGUAUGAAAUAGAAGCUUAGUAGUCCCCCUUAUCUACUAGAUAUGUUCCCCAGUAGAUGCUGAAACUGCAUGCACUGCAUAUAGAAAAUAUUCUUCUUAUCCAUGCAUAGAUAUGAUAGAGCUUUAUUCAUAAAUUAGGCAUAGUAAGAGAUUAACAAUAACUAGUAAUCAAAUAGAGCAAUUAUAACAACAUACUGUAAUAAAAGUAUGUCAGUGCAGUCUCUCUCUUUCAAAAUAUUGUAUGGUAUUGUGCUCACUUUUCUUCAUCUCCUGGUGGUAAAGUGAAUGAUAACAAUGCCCAUGUGAAGAGAUGAAGAGAGGCAAAUGGUCUAGGAAUUAUGAUCUAGCAUUAGGUCAUAUAUGAUGUAAAGGCUCCUUGAACACAAGUGCUGUGAUACCACAUCAGUCCAUCUGAUAACCACAAUGGCUGCUAAGUGACUAACGGGAGGGUAGCACAUACAGAUGAAUGUGCUAGGCAAAGAGAUGAUACAUGCCUGGUGGGGGUGAGGGUGGUGGAAUGACAUGAGAUUUCAUCACACUACUUAGUACUGAGUACAAUUUACAAUUUGUGAUUCUGUUUUUUGAGACAGGGUCUCACUGUGUAGUUCAGGCUGGCCUUGGACUCACUGCAUAGCCCAGGUGGGCCUCGAUCUCUUGGGAAUCCUCCUGCUUCAGCCUCCUGAGUGCUGGGAUUACAGGCAUACACCACCAUGCCCGGCUCAAUUUGUGAAUUUUUUAACGGAGUUUUCUGUUUAAUAUUCUUGAAUAUCAGUUGACUUUGGGUAACUGAAACUGCAGAAAAUGAGAGGGAAAAUGUGAGGGACAAAAAUAUUUGGCUGCAUGAUCGAUAUACCCUUAUUGUCUACUCUGUGAUUUUUAAACUAUGGGGAUUUGUUAAAAAUGCAAAGUCUCUGUAACACCUCCAAGCUACAGAAUCCAAAACUCAGGGUGGGACCCAACCAUCUGUGUUUUAGCAGGCACUCUAGGUGGUUUUCAUGCCUCUCAAUUUGGAGAUUCCUUGCCUUCAAUUUGAGAAACCAAGGUUAUUUUUACUUCUUACACGUGACUAACCAAGGUAAAGGGCAAGUGACGUGCGUUCUAAAAGUUUAGAAUAGCAAAUGACACAAUUUUGUAUAUGUAAAUGUUUCUGUAUUUUAUAUAUAAACUUCAUAUGUGUAUAUGUACUUAUGUAUUACAUACUGUAUGCAUAAACAUGUGAAUAUACCUUGUAAACUACCAUGCAA